UACAGAGGUCCCAAGCGUUGUUCGGAUUCACUGGGCGUAAAGGGUGCGUAGACGGUUGGGUAAGUCUGUCGUGAAAUCUCCGAGCCUAACUCGGAAACUGCGUCGGAUACUAUUCAACUCGAGGAAUGGAGGGGAGACUGGAAUUCUCGGUGUAGCAGUGAAAUGCGUAGAUAUCGAGAGGAACACCAGUGGCGAAGGCGAGUCUCUGGACAGUUCCUGACACUGAGACACGAAGGCCAGGGGAGCAAACGGG
rnacentral:rRNA from 1 species